rnacentral:rRNA from 1 species
UGCCAGCACCCGCGGUAAUACGAAGGGUGCAAGCGUUACUCGGAAUUACUGGGCGUAAAGCGUGCGUAGGUGGUCGUUUAAGUCCGUUGUGAAAGCCCUGGGCUCAACCUGGGAACUGCAGUGGAUACUGGACGACUAGAGUGUGGUAGAGGGUAGCGGAAUUCCUGGUGUAGCAGUGAAAUGCGUAAAGAUCAGGAGGAACAUCCAUGGCGAAGGCAGCUACCUGGACCAACACUGACACUGAGGCACGAAAGCGUGGGGAGCAAACAGGAUUAGAUACCCUGGUAGUCCACGCCCUAAACGAUGCGAACUGGAUGUUGGGUGCAAUUUGGCACGCAGUAUCGAAGCUAACGCGUUAAGUUCGCCGCCUGGGGAGUACGGUCGCAAGACUGAAACUCAAAUGAAUUGACGGACGCAUG